UACAGAGGUCUCAAGCGUUGUUCGGAUUCAUUGGGCGUUAAGGGUGCGUAGGCGGCGCGGUAAGUCGGGUGUGAAAUCUCGGGGCUUAACUCCGAAACUGCAUUCGAUACUGCCGUGCUUGAGGACUGGAGAGGAGACUGGAAUUUACGGUGUAGCGGUGAAAUGCGUAGAUAUCGUAAGGAAGACCAGUGGCGAAGGCGGGUCUCUGGACAGUUCCUGACGCUGAGGCACGAAGGUCAGGGGAGCAAACGGG
rnacentral:rRNA from 1 species